rnacentral:rRNA from 1 species
UGCCAGCCGCCGCGGUAACACGGGGGGCGCAAGCGUUAUUCGGAAUUAUUGGGCGUAAAGGGCGCGCAGGCGGUCUUGUCCGUCAGGUGUGAAAGCUCGGGGCUCAACCCCGGAAGUGCACUUGAAACAGCAAGACUUGAAUACGGUAGAGGAGAGAGGAACUCCUGGUGUAGAAGUGAAAUUCGUAGAUAUCAGGAGGAACACCUGAGGCGAAGGCGCCUAUCUGGCAGUGCAUUGACGCUGAGGUGCGAAAGCGUGGGGAGCAAACAGGAUUAGAUA